UGAGCAGAAGGGACUGACUCUGUCCUGGU
rnacentral:piRNA from 1 species